AUCAAGAAUCAAAUGGCUUGGAUCUGGUCUCUUCUCUUUGAGGAAGCAAGCAGGCAUGGAGGUGAGUCAGGCCAUUGGAAGAUUUCCUGUGGCUGAUGAAGAAUCCAACUCCAGGUUGCUCUUCUUUGAAGAGGAUUCCAGAAAUGCUUAGGUAGAAAAUGAAAAGUCAGAAUUCAAACCCAUGGACCCAGGGCAUGAAGCACAGCUCCGACCACCCCGAGAAUGUGUUGGAUUAACCCUAUUCAACAGAGGAGGAAAACAAACCCAAGAAAGGGCUGCUUGUUUGGACUGUAGGAGCUUAGCUGAGCACCAAGCACCAGCAGGAAUCAGAGAAUGGUGGCUUCCAUCCUCUG
rnacentral:lncRNA from 1 species